UUUGGUCUGGGCGUGCGAUCGAGAGAAGGAACCAAGGGAACCAAAACCCUAAACAACCUAAAAUCAUCAAAUUGAAAGGGGAAUCGAGGGCUGAUCGAAUGCAUGAGAACGUGUCAAGGAGAGCUCAAGCAUAGGAGGAUAACGGGUCAAGAUAAGGCAAGGUGACAAAUACACUUAUUGGAAUACUCAAGGUUAUGAAUGUCGGACUUUCGAAGUGUUGAUAUAAUAAUGAAACGGUUGAAUGUUGAAAGGAUAAUCGGAUUGAAGUAACUUAUGCGGUUAGAAUAUGCUAUGGACGUUUUAGUUUAUACAAUAUUAUAUGUUUGGUCGUCACCAUCUACUAACAGGUUAGUUGUAUGAGAGUAUAUGUCAUACCCAUUUAAUUGGGUAAUCGAAUGCGUAAGAAAAAUGAAAGUACGCACACGAAUGGAACUAAAAUGACGGUUUUAUAAGCAAACAAGUAUAAUGACUAACUUUUUAAAGCUUUGUUGUUGAAUGUAGGUAAAUCCUCAAUU
rnacentral:lncRNA from 1 species